rnacentral:rRNA from 1 species
GAUGAACGCUGGCGGCGUGCCUAAUACAUGCAAGUCGAACGGAGAUAUUGUAGCAAUACGGUAUCUUAGUGGCGAACGGGUGAGUAACGCGUUGGUGACCUGCCCCGAAGAGGGGGAUAACAGUCCGAAAGGAUUGCUAAUACCCCAUACGUUCAUGGAGUUUAGAAGUCCAUGACCAAAGGUGUAAAUCGCUUCGGGAGGGGCCUGCGUCCCAUCAGCUAGUUGGUAAGGUAACGGCUUACCAAGGCGACGACGGGUAGGGGACCUGAGAGGGUGGCCCCCCACAAUGGAACUGAAACACGGUCCAUACACCUACGGGUGGCAGCAGUAGGGAAUAUUAGUUAAUGUGCGAAAGCGCGAACUAGCAACGCCGCGUGUGCGAUGAAGGCCUUCGGGUCGUAAAGCACUUUUCGAGAAGAUGAGAAAGGACAGUACUCUCGGAAUAAGUCUCGGCUAACUACGUGCCAGCAGCAGCCGCGGUAAAAC